UACGGGGGGUGCGAGCGUUGUCCGGAAUUAUUGGGCGUAAAGGGCUCGUAGGCGGUCCGUCACGUCGGGAGUGAAAACUCGGGGCUCAACCCCGAGCCUGCUUUCGAUACGGGCGGACUAGAGGUAGGUAGGGGAGAACGGAAUUCCUGGUGUAGCGGUGGAAUGCGCAGAUAUCAGGAGGAACACCGGUGGCGAAGGCGGUUCUCUGGGCCUUACCUGACGCUGAGGAGCGAAAGCGUGGGGAGCGAACAGG
rnacentral:rRNA from 1 species